rnacentral:rRNA from 1 species
GGCUACUGCUAUUGGGAUUCGACUAAGCCAUGCGAGUCAAGGUGUCUUCGGACGCCGGCGUACGGCUCAGUAACACGUAGGUAACCUAACCUCAGGACUGAGAUAACCCCGGGAAACUGGGGCUAAUAUUAGAUAGAUAAAAGGUACUGGAAUGUUCUUUUAUCCAAAGCUUUUGCGCCUGAGGAUGGGCCUGCGUCCGAUUAGGUUGUUGGUG